GAUGAACGCUGGCGGCGUGCCUAAUACAUGCAAGUCGAGCGAACAGACGAGGAGCUUGCUCCUCUGACGUUAGCGGCGGACGGGUGAGUAACACGUGGAUAACCUACCUAUAAGACUGGGAUAACUUCGGGAAACCGGAGCUAAUACCGGAUAAUAUAUUGAACCGCAUGGUUCAAUAGUGAAAGACGGUUUUGCUGUCACUUAUAGCUGGAUCCGCGCCGCAUUAGCUAGUUGGUAAGGUAACGGCUUACCAAGGCAACGAUGCGUAGCCGACCUGAGAGGGGGAUCGGCCACACUGGAACUGAGACACGGUCCAGACUCCUACGGGAGGCAGCAGUAGGGAAUCUUCCGCAAUGGGCGAAAGCCUGACGGAGCAACGCCGCGUGAGUGAUGAAGGUCUUCGGAUCGUAAAACUCUGUUAUUAGGGAAGAACAAAUGUGUAAGUAACUAUGCACGUCUUGACGGUACCUAAUCAGAAAGCCACGGCUAACUACGUG
rnacentral:rRNA from 1 species